UAUUGCACAAUGGGGGAAACCCUGAUGCAGCGACGCCGCGUGAGUGAAGAAGUAUUUCGGUAUGUAAAGCUCUAUCAGCAGGGAAGAUANUGACGGUACCUGACUAAGAAGCCCCGGCUAACUACGUGCCAGCAGCCGCGGUAAUACGUAGGGGGCAAGCGUUAUCCGGAUUUACUGGGUGUAAAGGGAGCGUAGGUGGCAGGGCAAGUCAGAUGUGAAAACCCGGGGCUCAACCCCGGGAGUGCAUUUGAAACUGCCUGGCUGGAGUACAGGAGAGGUAAGUGGAAUUCCUAGUGUAGCGGUGAAAUGCGUAGAUAUUAGGAGGAACACCAGUGGCGAAGGCGGCUUACUGGACUGUAACUGACGUUGAGGCUCGAAAGCGUGGGGAGCAAACAGG
rnacentral:rRNA from 1 species